rnacentral:rRNA from 1 species
GAAUCCCGUCUCUGACACGGAUGACCAGUGCUAUGUGAUGCACUCUCGACGAGUCGAGUUGUUUGGGAAUGCAGCUCAAAAUGGGUGGUAAAUUCCAUCUAAAGCUAAAUACAGGCGAGAGACCGAUAGCGAACAAGUACCGUGAGGGAAAGAUGAAAAGAACUUUGGAAAGAGAGUUAAAUAGUACGUGAAAUUGCUGAAAGGGAAACGCUUGAUGUCAGUCGCGUCGGCCAGGGAUCAACCUUGCUUCAUUGCCGGGGUGCACUUCCUGGUCGACGGGUCAGCAUCAGUUUUGGUCGCUGUAGAAGGGCGAAAGGAAUGUGGCACUCUUCGGAGUGUGUUAUAGCCCUUCGUCGUAUGCAGUGGACGGGACUGAGGAACUCGGCACGACUUUCGUCUGUGCUUAGGAUGCUGGCAUAAUGGCCUUAAGCGACCCGUCUUGAAACACGGACCAAGGAGUCUAACAUGCCUGCGAGUGUUUGGGUGGCAAACUCGAGCGCGAAAUGAAAGUGAAAGUCGAGACCUCUGUCGUGGAGGGCACCGACGCCCGGACCAGACCUUCUGUGACGGCUCUGCGGUAGAGCAUGUAUGUUAGGACCCGAAAGAUGGUGAACUAUGCCUGAAUAGGGUGAAGCCAGAGGAAACUCUGGUGGAGGCUCGUAGCGAUUCUGACGUGCAAAUCGAUCGUCAAAUUUGGGUAUAGGGGCGAAAGACUAAUCGAACCAUCUAGUAGCUGGUUCCUGCC